ACGACGCUGGCGGCGUGGAUAAGACAUGCAAGUCGUGCGACAGACCAGGAAUUGAUUACUUCGGUUUGAUUUUUCUGACGAUGAGCGGCGAACGGGUGCGUAACACGUGAGAAAUCUGCCCUUAAGUUCGGGAUAGCCCUACGAAAGUAGAAUUAAUACCGGAUGUGGCCCAGGGAGGGCAUCUUCCCUUGGCUAAAGCUCGGUCACAGAGCGCUUUUGGAUGAUCUCGCGGUCUAUCAGCUUGUUGGUGAGGUAACGGCUCACCAAGGCUCUGACGGAUAGCUGGUCUGAGAGGAUGAUCAGUCACACUGGAACUGAGACACGGUCCAGACACCUACGGGUGGCAGCAGUCGAGAAUCAUUCACAAUGGGCGCAAGCCUGAUGGUGCGACGCCGCGUGGGGGAUGAAGGGCUUCGGUUCGUAAACCCCUGUCAUCUGUGAGUAAGGCUCCCAAUAAAAGCUUGGGAGAUUGAUAUCAGCAGAAGAGGAAGGGACGGCUAACUCAGUGCCAGCAGCCGCGGUAAUACUGAGGUCCCAAGCGUUGUUCGGAUUUACUGGGCGUAAAGGGUGCGUAGGCGGCUAUAAAAGUUUGGUGUGAAAUCUCCGGGCUCAACCCGGAAACUGCAUUGAAAACUAGAUAGCUAGAGGAUCGGAGAGGAGAUUGGAAUUCUCAGUGUAGCAGUGAAAUGCGUAGAUAUUGAGAGGAACACCAGUUGCGAAGGCGGAUCUCUGGACGGUUUCUGACGCUGAGGCACGAAAGCUGGGGUAGCGAGAGGAUUAGAUACCCUCGUAGUCCCAGCCGUAAACGGUGCGCACUUGCUGUGGGCGGAUUCGACCCCGUCUGUGGCGAAGCUAACGCGAUAAGUGCGCCGCCUGGGGAGUACGGUCG
rnacentral:rRNA from 1 species